rnacentral:misc_RNA from 1 species
GUAGGUGAACCUGCGGAAGGAUCAUUACUGAGUUCAUGCCCUUACGGGUAGACCUCCCACCCUUGAAUUAUAUAACUUUGUUGCUUUGGCAGCCCUCACCGGCUGCCAGAGAAUAAACCAAACUCUUUUUAAAUAUAUCGUCUGAGUACUAUAAAAUAGUUAAAACUUUCAACAACGGAUCUCUUGGUUCUGGCAUCGAUGAAGAACGCAGCAUCUGACUGACUCGGGCAUAAGUCAUCUCGUAUGCCGU